GUGGGGAAUAUUGGACAAUGGGCGAAAGCCUGAUCCAGCCAUGCCGCGUGUGUGAAGAAGGUCUUCGGAUUGUAAAGCACUUUAAGUUGGGAGGAAGGGCAGUAAGUUAAUACCUUGCUGUUUUGACGUUACCGACAGAAUAAGCACCGGCUAACUUCGUGCCAGCAGCCGCGGUAAUACGAAGGGUGCAAGCGUUAAUCGGAAUUACUGGGCGUAAAGCGUGCGUAGGAGGUUUUGUAAGUUGGAGGUGAAAUCCCCGGGCUCAACCUGGGAACUGCCUCCAAAACUGCAUGACUAGAGUACGGUAGAGGGUAGUGGAAGUUCCUGUGUAGCGGUGAAAUGCGUAGAUAUAGGAAGGAACACUAGUGGCGAACGCCACCACCUGGACUGAUACUGACACUGAGGUGCGAAAGCGUGCGGAGCAAACAGGAUUAGAAUCCCCAGUAGACC
rnacentral:rRNA from 1 species